rfam:Cricetulus griseus cell line CHO-K1, whole genome shotgun sequence.
UGGCUCAGCAGUAAAGAGCACUGGCUGCUAUUCCAGAGAUCCUGAGUUCAACUCUCAG